GUAUUGUAUUGCGUUAAACGCUGCAUACAUUCCAUAAGACUUCAUUACAGUGUGUGUGUAAAGACAUAGAACCACAGCAGGGGGACAGAGCCCCCAGGCCACAGAACUACGGAGGGUGCACGGGUGUGAGUGGAUGUGUGAACAGAGCGUGCACAUAUGCCCCCAUUCGAGGGCCAGCAACAACUCAUGUUGACAAUUCGGUAAUGAUCCUUCCGCAGGUUCACCUACGGAAA
rnacentral:misc_RNA from 1 species